AGAGUUUGAUCCUGGCUCAGAGUGAACGCUGGCGGCAGGCCUAAUACAUGCAAGUCGAACGGCAGCACAGCAGAGCUUGCUCUGUGGGUGGCGAGUGGCGGACGGGUGAGGAAUACGUGGGAAUCUGCCCAGUCGUGGGGAUAACGUAGGGAAACUUACGCUAAUACCGCAUGCGCCCUUCGGGGGAAAGCCGGGGACCUUCGGGCCUGGCGCGAUUGGAUGAGCCCACGUCGGAUUAGCUAGUUGGCGGGUAAAGGCCCACCAAGGCGACGAUCCGUAGCUGGUCUGAGAGGAUGAUCAGCCACACUGGAACUGAGACACGGUCCAGACUCCUACGGGAGGCAGCAGUAGGGAAUGUUGGACAAUGGGCGCAAGCCUGAUCCAGCCAUGCCGCGUGAGUGAAGAAGGCCCUCGGGUUGUAAAGCUCUUUUGUCCGGAAAGAAAAGCGCCGGGUUAAUACCCUGGUGUCCUGACGGUACCGGAAGAAUAAGCACCGGCUAACUUCGUG
rnacentral:rRNA from 1 species